ensembl:lncRNA
AUGAGUGGCACAGUGGGAGGAGACCAAAAGAUGGGGGAGCAAGGAUCAAGUGGUCUUCCUGAAGAAGACAUUUCAGAGGCUGGGAUGAGCUGGGACCAGGAGGGGGGUCAGGAAGGUUCCAGGGAGAGGGGCACCGCUGGACAGACUCCAGUUCACAGGAAAGCACGAAGUGGAAGGUCCAAAGUGGCCUGGUUGACAUCUUGCCUCCGACAUCCUGGUGACAGGCGUUCGGGGGCGCUCCUCCGGCCGGAGUCGAUGCGCGGGACUCAGGAAGAGAGGCGCGCUCCAGGCGCGGGGGACCCAGCCGCCGGCGCACGGCGGCCCUUCGGGAAGCCAGACCCUCAGAGGCUGGGUCCACCUCCCCGCUGCGAUCCUCAUCCCCAGCCUGGUCAAGCCAAAGGGCGCAGGGCAGCCGGCGAUGCCGCCGGGGAACUCACCCGCUCUCCCGAGCCCUGCCCCGGGCGGCUCCCGGCCCUGGCUCGGUCCUUCAGUCCCCGAGCCGCAGCUGCCGGUGCGGCGACAGAAGCCAGCUCUGCACGGCCGCGGGCCUCCGCGCCGCCCCUCGGCUCCUCCCCCGAGGCGGGGCCUGAGCUCGCGGGAAGGGGGUGGGCAUCCUCUCGGCUCGACCUGGACGGCACGCGAGCUCCCGGCAAGGGUCUCUCAUCCCCCUCCACCACCACCUCUGAGCAGCUAGAAAUUGAAAGCAGAAUGUUUCCAUUGAUUUAUCCUGAAGAGCUGUAGGCUGAAAGAGCAGAAGUCCGUCUCUCCCAGGCUUGCAUAGAACUUGGAGCCUGCCUUCCUAAAAUGAUGCCUUGAGUAUGGGCCCAGAUCCCAGUGCUGUGCUGUUCAUUUACACCAUUCAUAACAUUUUGAUAUUGAAGAUAAGUAUACUCAGAAUUGGGUGGAAGACUCAUACUUCCUGAUUUCAAAAUUUACCACAAGGCUACAAUAAUCAAGACUGCAGUACGGUAUAAGGAUAGAUGGGGAUCAAUGGAAUAAAACAGAUUCCAGCUAAACCCCUUUUAGGACCAAUUGCUUUUCAAUGAGUGACAAGACAAUUUAAAGAAUCAUCUUUUCAACUAAUGGUGCUGGAUGACUGGACUUCCAUAUGCCAAUAAAUAAAUAAAUAAAUAAAUGAGGUUGGACCCCCUACCUCACACCAUACACAGAAAUUAACUCAAAACGAUAAGGCUGCAUCGUAAGAGCUAAAACUAUGAAACUCAGAGGAAAACAUAGACAUAAGUCAUGACCUUGGAUUAAGGCUCACAAUGGACGUGAAUCUGAGUGAACUCCAGAAGUUGAUGAUGGACAGGGAGGCCUGGCGUGCUGCANNNNNNNNNNNNNNNNAGAGUCGGACACAACUGAGCGACUGAACUGACUGACUGACUGACUGACUGGAUUAAGCAGUGUUUCUUAGCUAUGGCACCUCAAGCAGAAGCAACAAAGGAAAAAAGAGACAAUUUGGACUUGACUAAAAUUAAAAUGCUUUAUAGAGGACACCAUCAAGAAAGUGAAAAGAUAACUGUAAUGGGCUGAAUUGUAUUCCCCCCAAAUUCACAUGCUGAAGUCCUAAUCUCUAGUAUCUCAGACUGUGACUGUGUUUGGAGAUAAGGUCUUUGAAGAGAUGAUUGUCAAGCUAAGGCCCUUAAGGUGGGGCCCUGAUCCAAUAUAGCUAGUGUCCUCAGAAGAGGAAGAGACACCAAGGGAUACUUGCACAGAGGAAAGGCCACGUGAGGGCCCAGGGAGAAGAUGGUCAUCUCCGAGUCCAAGAGAGAGGCCUCGGGAGAAACCAGAUCUGCAGACACCUUGAUCUUGGACUUCUAGCCUCCAGAACUGUGAGAAAGAAAUUUCUGUUGUUUAAGCCACCCGGUUGUGACAUUUUGAUAUGGCAGCCUUAGCAAACAAAUACAAGAACCCACAGAACCCACAGAAUGAGGGGAAAUAUUUGCAAAGCACAUAUCUGAUAAGGGGCUUGUAUCUAGAAUAUAUAAGGAACUCUUACAACUCAGUAAUAGGCAAAUAACAAAAAAUGAACAAGGAGUGAGAAUAGACAUUUCUCCAAAGAAAAUGUGCAAAUGGCCAAUAAGCACAUGAGAAAAUGCUCAAUAUCAUUAGCCAUCAAGGAAAUGCAAUGCAAAACCCCAAUGCGGGGACUUCCCUGGUUGUCCAGUGGCUUAAGACUCUGCACUCCCAAUGCAGGGGCCGUAGGUUUGAUUCCUGAUCAGGAAACUAGAUCCUGCAUGCCACAAUUCAAGAUCCCACUCAAGGUUCCACAGGUUGCAACUAAAGACACAGGCACAGCCAAAAAAAAAAAAAAAAAAACCCCACAAUGAGGGGAUUCCCUGGCAGUCUAGUGGUUAGGACUUGGUGAUUCUACUGCUGGGGGCAGGUUCAAUCACUCUUCAGGGAACUAAGGUACCACAAGCUACCAGGCCAAAAACAAACGAAAACACCACAAUGAGAUAUACUUUCAAACUUACCAGGAUGGCUAUGAUCAAAAAGACAGAUAAUAACGAAUGUUGACAAAGAUGUGGAGAAAUUGGAAAUUUUAUGCAUUGCUGGUGGGAGUGUAAAAUGGUAUAGCCCCUUUGAAAAACAGUCUGGCAGUUCCCUAAAAUGUUAAACAUAGAGUUGCCGGAUGACCCAGCAAUCCCACUCCUAGGUGUAUACCCAAGAGAAGUAAAAACAAAUGUCCACACAAACUUGUACAUAAAGGUUCAUGGCAGCGUUAUUCAUUAUAGCCAAGAAGGGGAGACAACCCAAAUCUCUAUCAAAUGAUGAAUGGAUCUGGAAAACGUAGUGUAUCCAUACAAUGCAGUGUGAUUUGAUAGUCGAAAGGUAUGCAGGAUGAAUACAUGCCACAACAUGAACCUUGAA